rnacentral:misc_RNA from 1 species
GGAAGUAAAAGUCGUAAUAAGGUUUCCGUAGGUGAACCUGCGGAAGGAUCAUUAUUGGAUUUUGAAACUUCAGGCUGCUGCUGGCUCUCCUCGGAGGGCAUGUGCACGCUUGUUGUCCAUUAUUUCUCCCACUGUGCACAAAUUGUAGACCUUUCAGUAGGCCUAUGUUGUUUUUCACAAUCUCUGAAUGUAAUAGAAUGGUUUUGAAUCUUGGGAAAUACAAUACAACUUUCAGCAACGGAUCUCUUGGCUCUC